rnacentral:rRNA from 1 species
UACGAAGGGGGCUAGCGUUGCUCGGAAUCACUGGGCGUAAAGCGCACGUAGGCGGAUUGCUAAGUCAGGGGUGAAAUCCUGGAGCUCAACUCCAGAACUGCCUUUGAUACUGGCGAUCUUGAGUCCGGGAGAGGUGAGUGGAACUGCGAGUGUAGAGGUGAAAUUCGUAGAUAUUAGGAAGAACACCGGUGGCGAAGGCGGCCCACUGGAUCGGUACUGACGCUGAGGUGCGAAAGCGUGGGGAGCAAACAGG